CGGGACGUGGCGCAGUCUGGUAGCGCACCACAAUGGGGUUGUGGGGGUCGCUGGUUCGAAUCCAGUCGUCCCGACCA
rnacentral:tRNA from 2 species